rnacentral:rRNA from 1 species
ACGGAGGCAGCAGUGGGGAAUAUUGCACAAUGGGGGAAACCCUGAUGCAGCGAUGCCGCGUGGAGGAAGAAGGUUUUCGGAUUGUAAACUCCUGUCUUAAAGGACGAUAAUGACGGUACUUUAGGAGGAAGCUCCGGCUAACUACGUGCCAGCAGCCGCGGUAAUACGUAGGGAGCGAGCGUUGUCCGGAAUUACUGGGUGUAAAGGGAGCGUAGGCGGGACUGCAAGUCAGAUGUGAAAUGCCGGGGCUUAACCCCGGAGCUGCAUUUGAAACUGUGGUUCUUGAGUGAAGUAGAGGCAAGCGGAAUUCCUGGUGUAGCGGUGAAAUGCGUAGAUAUCAGGAGGAACACCGGUGGCGAAGGCGGCUUGCUGGGCUUUUACUGACGCUGAGGCUCGAAAGCGUGGGUAGCAAACAGGAUUAGAUACCCUGGUA